rnacentral:misc_RNA from 1 species
CUCCUGCUUCUGAUAUCAUACAUGAGAGGAACUCGCUCAUGAAAACAAUUGAUAGAAGUAGCAAUGGAAAAACGCUGAUCAACUCAGGCAAAUGCAAAAAUAGUACAAAGCUUCAUUUGCCUCGUCAAUCUCCAGAACAAUUUUCAGAGCUUGAAAGUGAACCAAUGGGCAGCUCAAUCUCCAAUGUGCGUGCUUUUAAAAUGACAGGUAGAACAGCUAAACAAUCUAGUAAAGAUGAAGCUGUUCUGGAUGUGGUUUCUCUGGACAAGUUUGCAGUGGGAGCUUCUCAGCAGCUCAAGGCUGCGCCAGAAGUGGCACACGCACAUUAUUGUUCCCCAAACGUAACAACUACACCUCAAAUUGAGCCAUCAAAUAAGAGGAUAAAGCACCUUGAUGACUGCACUGCAACUGAAGAGCAUUCACAGAAGUUGGAAAUUGAGAAGAAUGGCAACAUGCCAGAGUUACAGCCAAACUUUUCCUUUGGGGAUUAUUGGUCAGACCCAUGCUUUGAAUUUGCAUUCAAGACUCUUACAGGUGCAUUACCAAUAGAUGAUAAUUUGCCAGUUCAGAGUUACUUCCAGCAACAAGUAGACACUUCUCAAACCCAGAAGGGGGUUUACUUCCAGCAACAAGUUGACGCUUCUCAAAACCAGAGGGAGGAUUACUUCCAGCAACAAGUUGACACUUCUCAAACCCUGAGGGAAAGUUACUUUCAGCAACCAGUUGACGCUUCUCAGACCCUGAAGGAUGGUAGUUUGGCACUUCCUGAUUUUGGCUUACCCAGCUUUUUUCAAACUGAUAUAUCAGUUCACUUUGAUGCUCCGGAGAAGCAACUUGCUUCCCAGACACAAGUACCCUUGAAUAGUCCUUCCUUCGUGCCGUCAGGAAGUGUGAGCUUACCAAGUUGCAGUAGCGUUGGUUCUCAACAACCGCCACACUUGAAGGAGAAUAAGGGACUGCGUGGGAGGGUGAACUCCUAGAGUCAAGGUAAUUGUUACCAGUUUAGGUAUUAUAAUUAUCUGUGAUAAUACGCAGCCUUUUUCAACAAUAACCUUUGUGGUUGUAUUUUAGCUUUUGUAAUAUGAUAUUGACUAUAAUUUGAACCGUUGUAAAAUAGUCUUUCAACUUUGGUAGUUUGUUCAGAAGAUGUAGGGGCGACAACUGUGCGAAAGUUUUCCCAAAUGCAAUAUGUUCAUGUUGUACUUUCUUCCAUUUUUCACGGCAAUGAAUAGAAAACGAAGUUCUUUUUUUUUUUU